CUGUGAUAGAACAUUGGUGGAGAGCAAACCACAAGCAUUGGGCAAAUUGGACUUUCCCUACCUCCUGAUGUCUUCAGGGCCUACAGUUUUGGUAAUGGAACCACCAUAUCUACAGAUGACCAUGCCAAAAGAAAAAAAAAAUUCCAAAAAGAAGCAAAAAUGAAGCCUGUUCAGUACUUUUGAGAUAUCAACUGUGCUGAGGGAAAGCAAAAACUGUAUGGGUCUUGUCUUAGGGAACUGGAGCCAAUGUGAAUAUCCUCUGAACUCUAAAAGAGCAAUGCAUUUACGUUUGGAUGCUCUGAUUUAAUUGUAUUAGCACAUGUUGUGAGCAAAUGAUAAUUUCACAUAUCCACGAGUUCCUCAAAUAAAACAAUUUUAAAAGUAA